UAACCUUAUAUGCCAGAGAUUAUUGUUGUUUUUAUUGUUAGUCAUGGGUGCUGCCUUUAGUCCAGAUGUCAUGAGCUUUCCUUUCAUACCUGCAUCAAUCAUGUAUAAGCUUCCUUUCUUUCUACCAAUCCCCUUCACCUUGCCAUUGGAGAUGUCCUAAAAAACACAGAAAUCAGGGAAGAAAGUGACAAAGCAAGAGAUCUCUUCAGUCACUUUUGACACUGAUAACAGAUUAAACCUAAUCUCAGGAACAUAUAACACACCAUGUACUACCUCUUUCUCAAACAAAAUU
rnacentral:lncRNA from 1 species